rnacentral:rRNA from 1 species
AACCAGCACCUCAAGUGGUCAGGAUGAUUAUUGGGCCUAAAGCAUCCGUAGCCGGCUCUGUAAGUUUUCGGUUAAAUCUGUACGCUUAACGUACAGGCUGCCGGGAAUACUGCAGAGCUAGGUAGUGGGAGAGGUAGACGGUACUCGAUAGGAAGGGGUAAAAUCCUUUGAUCUAUUGAUGACCACCUGUGGCGAAGGCGGUCUACCAGAACACGUACGACGGUGAGGGAUGAAAGCUGGGGGAGCAAACCGGAUUAGAUACCCGGGUAGUCCCAGCUGUAAACUAUGCAAACUCAGUGAUGCAUUGGCUUGUGGCCAAUGCAGUGCUGCAGGGAAGCCGUUAAGUUUGCCGCCUGGGAAGUACGUACGCAAGUAUGAAACUUAAAGGAAUUGGCGGGGGAGCACCACAAGGGGUGAAGCCUGCGGUUCAAUUGGAGUCAACGCCAGAAAUCUUACCCGGAGAGACAGCAGAAUGAAGGUCAAGCUGAAGACUUUACCAGACAAGCUGAGAGGUGGUGCAUGGCCGUCGCCAGCUCGUGCCGUGAGAUGUCCUGUUAAGUCAGGUAACGAGCGAGAUCCCUGCCUCUAGUUGCCACCAUUACUCCCAGGAGUAGUGGGGCGAAUUAGCGGGACCGCCGCAGUUAAUGCGGAGGAAGGAAGGGGCCACGGCAGGUCAGUAUGCCCCGAAACUCUGGGGCCACACGCGGGCUGCAAUGGUAACGACAAUGGGUUUCGAAUUCGAAAGGAUGAGGUAAUCCUCAAACGUUACCACAGUUAUGACUGAGGGCUGCAACUCGCCCUCACGAAUAUGGAAUCCCUAGUAACUGCGUGUCACUAUCGCGCGGUGAAUACGUCCCUGCUCCU